rnacentral:rRNA from 1 species
CAGUCGCCGCGGGAAUACGUAGGGUGCAAGCGUUAAUCGGAAUUACUGGGCGUAAAGCGUGCGCAGGCGGUUAUAUAAGACAGAUGUGAAAUCCCCGGGCUCAACCUGGGAACUGCAUUUGUGACUGUAUAGCUAGAGUACGGCAGAGGGGGAUGGAAUUCCGCGUGUAGCAGUGAAAUGCGUAGAUAUGCGGAGGAACACCGAUGGCGAAGGCAAUCCCCUGGGCCUGUACUGACGCUCAUGCACGAAAGCGUGGGGAGCAAACAGGAUUAGAGACCCGAGUAGUCCCUGUCUCUUAUAC